UACGUAGGGUGCGAGCGUUAAUCGGAAUUACUGGGCGUAAAGCGUGCGCAGGCGGCGCGUUAAGACAGGUGUGAAAGCCCCGAGCUUAACUUGGGAAUUGCGCUUGUGACUGGCGUGCUGGAGUGUGGCAGAGGGAGGUGGAAUUCCAUGUGUAGCAGUGAAAUGCGUAGAGAUGUGGAGGAACACCGAUGGCGAAGGCAGCCUCCUGGGCCAGCACUGACGCUCAUGCACGAAAGCGUGGGGAGCAAACAGG
rnacentral:rRNA from 1 species